rnacentral:rRNA from 1 species
UUUAUGGAGAGUUUGAUCCUGGCUCAGAGUGAACGCUGGCGGCGUGCCUAAUACAUGCAAGUCG